GUUGUUGUGUUUAAUUAAUUUAUCAUCUACUACUUGCACCACCAUUCGAUCCCAACACCUGAGCAGUAUCCUUCACGCAUUUUGUUUAUGAUGGGAGUACACAUACGAGUGAUAGCAUUCAAUUCAAUAUCAAUAUUAUAACUUAGCGGGCUAUAAGUGUGAUUGAUGACUUCUAUAUAUUAUGAAUUUUGUUGCAGCGACACUGGAAAGUUGAUCUUCAAGCCCACACAACCCUCUUAUCCCCAUGAGAUUUAGAGUAUUCGCAACCUCUUGAUAUUUUGAAAACUUUGAGUUCUACAAAAGAAUUUGGAGGAUGGAGGUAACGAGAAAUUGAAGGCACACCUAACAGAACAGAUGUAUGAAAAUCUUGGAAUCGUAAUGGUUUUUACAAUGGUCAGUGCAGCUCAAGAAUGGCUGAACGUACAGUGGGACAAGAUAAACCUGAGGAGAGAGGAGACUGCGGCACAAAAACUGAAGGAGGAAAAGGAUGCAGAAGGGCUAAGACUAGUUUUCCUCAUUGUUCUUUUAAGAUUUAAAGACUCUAAUAAGUAAUUACAUAAAAUACAGUCUGUUAUGUAGUUAUCACAUUUCUAAAAUAAGAAAAACGAUGAAAUUAGAUUUCUCUUUAAUUUUACUUUUCCAGAAAAUUAGGAACACUUAGUAUCUUAUUAUCACAGUUACUUUUUUAUUUGUGUUUAAAAUUUUAUUUGUGUUUAAAAUUGUUAGAGCACGCAGGGAAAGGGCAGGCAGACCGGGAUUAAAAGAACGCACGUUUUAUAGGAAUAACUAGAACAGUAUAUUUAGCGAGACGUUAUACACAGAACGGAAGAGAUCGAGCGAGCGAUCGACAGCAGGGCCACGGGUAAGAUAAGUAGAAGGGAAAACGGACUCGAGAAAUUAGCUAGCGUAGAUGUCGCCGUAACAGGGGCAAUGAAUAGUUAUACAUUAGAGGUGAAUUCCGUAUGUGGGUCGCUUUGAUCCAACAAAAAUAUUGAAUUUAUUUGUGUCUAGAAUAUUGAAAACACGGGCUAAGACGUUCGAAAUAUAUUCAUUCCCCCAGACGACAAUCGUAAUGGUUUUAUAGACUAUUUGAGAGAACUCUCGUAACUGUCGAACCUUUUUCAAGCUGGAAAGAUAACUUUGAUGAAGAAAUGGGCUACACGAAACGGAAAGAAUUAGCGGAUAGCGAGGGCAAAAAGUUAACAGGCAGGGUGAUGCUGUAAAAGUAGAAUGAGACAGUUUGGUCCAAAACCUAGACGAUGAUGAGGACGAUCCAGACGAUGAUGAGGACGACCCAGACUAUGAUUCAAAUAUCUCGGAUGAUAGUGCCUAAACAAGCUUGAUUCAGUAGCCAUCAAAGUGAUACGUGGAAUUAAAUUUAAGGAAUUUAUUGAAUUAUUACAAAGGGAAAAAGAAAAAUGAGUAAAAUGUAUAUCGCAUUCUC